GGCGAGGUGACAGACCGUGGGGAGGAAGCCCGAGCCAAAGCUGCGAGGUGACGAACAGAAACGUCAUGAAGGCGGCGAGCUUUCUGAGGCGAGUGGCCCCAGGACCACGAAGCCGUUUCCGACAGGACUCGUCGUAGUUGACGCACUUGUGCAGCGAAAGUUCACGUC
rnacentral:ncRNA from 1 species